rnacentral:ncRNA from 1 species
UAUCUGGUUGAUCCUGCCAGUAGUCAUAUGCUUGUCUCAAAGAUUAAGCCAUGCAUGUCUAAGUAUAAGCACUCGUACUGUGAAACUGCGAAUGGCUCAUUAAAUCAGUUAUCGUUUAUUUGAUUGUACCUUUACUACUUGGAUAACCGUGGUAAUUCUAGAGCUAAUACAUGCGAAAAGUCCCGACUUCUGGAAGGGAUGUAUUUAUUAGAUUCAAAACCAAUGCGGGUUCUGCCCGGUCGUUUGGUGAUUCAUAGUAACUGUUCGAAUCGCAGGGCCUCGCGCCGGCGAUGUUUCAUUCAAAUUUCUGCCCUAUCAACUGUCGAUGGUAAGGUAUUGGCUUACCAUGGUUACAA